rnacentral:rRNA from 1 species
AUCGAAAAGAAUGCAUUGGAUGGAUGCCUGGGCAUUGAGAAGGAAGGACGCUUCCAAAGGCGAAAGGCCAUGGGGAGAUACCGUCUGCGAUCCAUGGGUUUCCAAUCGGGAAACCGUAUCCAAGCUUGCCGGGCAUGCCGUGUGCUGCGGCUCCGCCUCGGACUUGAGAUACUUAGCGAACUGAAACAUCAUUGUAGCUAAAGGAAAGGAAAUCAACUGAGACUCCGUUAGUAGCAGCGAGCGAAAGCGGAUUAGGCAAAGAAAGGGGAAGGGGCCCCGAGAGAGGGACCCCCGCUUUCCCUGGCCCUGUGCGGGGGAGAACUUGCAGUAGGGGCCUCAAGGAAUUCUGAAAAGGUUGGAAGAUCUGGCCAAAGAAGGUGAUAGCCCCGUAUAUAUUUCCUAACAAGUUUGAUUACUAUUGCAAAACGCGAAUACCGUGUUUGAAUAAUGAUCGCUUUGUAGUUACUAAGGGGGACCACCCUCGCGGCCUAAGUAUUCCUCAAUGACCGAUAGCGUACCACAAGUACCGUGAGGGAAAAGUGAAAAGACCCCGCCGUAUGCCGGGAGUGCAAUAGACAACCUGAAAUCCGGUGCAAACCAUCAGUCGGAAGAGCAAAGCUGAGAAAACGAAGGCGAAGCCACUGAUGUUCGAUGGAACGCAUACGCGAAGCUGAGAAAGCGCUGUAGCUGGGCAAAGCCACUAAUGUGUCGCCUUGAGCGAACCCUUGAGCGAAGCUUCGCGUUGUCGGCUCUCGCUCGGCGCACUUUCCACCCGUAACGGCGUACCUUUUGCAUAAUGGGUCAGCGAGUGAAUGGGAACAGCGGCUUAAGCCAUUAGGUGUAGGCGCAAUGAGGUUGAAUCUUCGGCGUUGUUUCUAUUUGACCCGAAACCGAUUGAUCUAGCCACGAGCAGGUUGAAUCGAGCUCUCCACAGAGGCCUUAGAGGACCGAACUCACGUAUGUGGCAAAAUACGGGGAUGACUUGUGGCUAGGGGU